UAAGGCAAAAGUAGAUCACUUUACCCUUUUCUUUUUAAUGAGGAAAAAAAAAGAAAAGAAAAUUUCUAGCGAUCCAUUUUUUAAUCUCCUCCAUCCCCAAACACAAAGAUGAGCUCAUUAGAAGCCAAAAACUCCAAACAAAUCCCUCAAGAGAUGGAAAGUAUGAAAGAAAUUUGAAAAAGGGAAAAGAAACUCAAAGGUAAUUAAAGUGAGAAAGAAAGAGAGCAAAUUAAACAAAAGAACAUACAGUAGCAUAUGCAUCAGUAAUGGAAACACAUGUUCUCUGCUGAUCAAUACCAUACCUUGUGUUGUCCACUUGAAGGAU
rnacentral:misc_RNA from 1 species